rnacentral:rRNA from 1 species
UGACUGCGAGCGUGACGGCGCGAGCAGGUGCGAAAGCAGGUCAUAGUGAUCCGGUGGUUCUGAAUGGAAGGGCCAUCGCUCAACGGAUAAAAGGUACUCCGGGGAUAACAGGCUGAUACCGCCCAAGAGUUCAUAUCGACGGCGGUGUUUGGCACCUCGAUGUCGGCUCAUCACAUCCUGGGGCUGAAGUAGGUCCCAAGGGUAUGGCUGUUCGCCAUUUAAAGUGGUACGCGAGCUGGGUUUAGAACGUCGUGAGACAGUUCGGUCCCUAUCUGCCGUGGGCGCUGGAGAACUGAGGGGGGCUGCUCCUAGUACGAGAGGACCGGAGUGGACGCAUCACUGGUGUUCGGGUUGUCAUGCCAAUGGCACUGCCCGGUAGCUAAAUGCGGAAGAGAUAAGUGCUGAAAGCAUCUAAGCACGAAACUUGCCCCGAGAUGAGUUCUCCCUGACUCCUUGAGAGUCCUGAAGGAACGUUGAAGACGACGACGUUGAUAGGCCGGGUGUGUAAGCGCAGCGAUGCGUUGAGCUAACCGGUACUAAUGAACCGUGAGGCUUAACCUUACAACGCCGAAG